rnacentral:rRNA from 1 species
AAUAGAUACCCUGGUAGUCCACGCCGUAAACGAUGAGUGCUAAGUGUUAGGGGGUUUCCGCCCCUUAGUGCUGCAGCUAACGCAUUAAGCACUCCGCCUGGGGAGUACGGUCGCAAGACUGAAACUCAAAGGAAUUGACGGGGGCCCGCACAAGCGGUGGAGCAUGUGGUUUAAUUCGAAGCAACGCGAAGAACCUUACCAGGUCUUGACAUCCUCUGACAAUCCUAGAGAUAGGACGUCCCCUUCGGGGGCAGAGUGACAGGUGGUGCAUGGUUGUCGUCAGCUCGUGUCGUGAGAUGUUGGGUUAAGUCCCGCAACGAGCGCAACCCUUGAUCUUAGUUGCCAGCAUUCAGUUGGGCACUCUAAGGUGACUGCCGGUGACAAACCGGAGGAAGGUGGGGAUGACGUCAAAUCAUCAUGCCCCUUAUGACCUGGGCUACACACGUGCUACAAUGGACAGAACAAAGGGCAGCGAAACCGCGAGGUUAAGCCAAUCCCACAAAAUCUGUUCUCAGUUCGGAUCGC